rnacentral:rRNA from 1 species
GUUGUGAGGUUAAGCGAACAAGCGUACACGGUGGAUGCCCUGGCAGUCAGAGGCGAUGAAGGACGUGCUAAUCUGCGAAAAGCGCCGGUAAGGUGAUAUGAACCGUUAUAACCGGCGAUGUCCGAAUGGGGAAACCCGGUGCACUUCGGUGCAUCAUCGUUAGCUGAAUACAUAGGCUAACGAGGCGAACCGGGGGAACUGAAACAUCUAAGUACCCCGAGGAAAAGAAAUCAACCGAGAUUCCCCCAGUAGCGGCGAGCGAACGGGGAACAGCCCAGAGCCUGAAUCAGUUUGUGUGUCAGUGGAACGGUCUGGAAAGGCCGGCGAUACAGGGUGACAGCCCCGUACACGAAGGCACACAGGUUGUGAGCUCGAUGAGUAGGGCGGGACACGUGAUAUCCUGUCUGAAGAUGGGGGGACCAUCCUCCAAGGCUAAAUACUCCUGACUGACCGAUAGUGAACCAGUACCGUGAGGGAAAGGCGAAAAGAACCCCGGCGAGGGGAGUGAAACAGAACCUGAAACCGUGUACGUACAAGCAGUGGGAGCCUUCGUAAGAGGGUGACUGCGUACCUUUUGUAUAAUGGGUCAGCGACUUAUAUUCUGUAGCAAGGUUAACCGUAUAGGGGAGCCGAAGGGAAACCGAGUCUUAA